GAUAUAUAUAUUUUUGUUUGUACAAAUUUAUGAGGUACAUGCGAAAUUUUGUUACAUAUGUAUAUGGUGUAGUGAUCAAGUCAGGGUAUUUAGCAUGACUAUCAUUGGAAUAAGACAUUUUUGUUGAAGAUAGUCACCCUACUCUGCCAUCUAACAUUGCAUUUAUUCCAUCUAUCUUACUCUGUGUUUGUACCCUUUAACCCAUUUCUUUUUGACCUCCCCUUGAUCCCCUCACCUCAUCUUUCCCUAUCUGUUAUCUGUCUUUCCAUUUCCACCUCCAUGUGGUCAAAUUUUUUAGCUUUUCCGUGUGAGACUAUGCGAUACUUUUUUUGUGUGUGCCUGGCUUAUUUUACUUAAGUUAAUGACUAACAGUUUCAUCCACGUUGCUGAAAAUGACAUGAUUUUAUCUGUCCAAUGAGUUGUUUAGGCUAGCACCCUGGUUAAGACCAGAAUUUGGACUCAGGCUGCCUGGUUUUGAAUCCUGUUUCUGGCCCUUUUAAGUACAUAACGUCUCAAUGCUUUAGUUUCCACAUUUAUAAAAUGAGUAUAAUACUAACUAUAUAGCUCAUGGGGUUGUUGUGAGGAUUAGAUGAAUUCAUGUGGGUAGAGUGCAGGCACAUAGGUUAUAUUAUUACCGAUGCUUAAAUAUAUAAAAGAGAGUGUAUUUGAACACUAGGUAGCAGAGAAAGUUGAGCCUAACAAAUCCUUGAACUGUAUGAUGUAAAGUCUAUAUAUGUCUCUAUUUUGACCUUGCAGGUAAUGUAGCAAUUUAUUAAGAACAUUUUGAGGUUUUGGGAAACUCCACAGGAAGUGGAAAUGGUCUCUCCCUGGCCGGCUUGCGCGCCGGAUUACAUCACCCGCCUUGCACUGGGGAGGGGUAUGAUGGCUGCCCUCAGUAUUGCCUGCACAAAUAUCUACCAGGUCUGCAAUUAAUAUAGUUCCCGCAACUUUGCACCAUGUUUUCCCAUAAGCCUACCGACAGGCACUAUGCAGAUUCAAGCAGAGAGAAGUCCAAGCAGUGAGGCCGCUGUUGCACUGGCCACCCUGAGCCCCUCGUCGGCCUUCCCGCCUCGGCUUCCUGGCCCCACACUAGGACCCCUGCAGCCGAUCAGGUGGCAGCCAGGGCAAUUUCCUUCCUGUUUUGGCAAGAUGGCGGGAGGAGAAGCUGGAGUGACUUUGGGACAGCCGCAACUUACCACCUUGGUUGUUAGCAAUGCUGGGAUUACAGGCGUGAGCCACCGUGCCCGGCCGACGCCACUUUCACACGAAGUUAUCAGCAGACAAGCCACGUACAAUUGGUCAUGUAGCUUAUGGGAAAUCCACAGUUGUCAAAGCUAUUUCUGGAGUUCACACGGUCAGAUUCAAAAAUGAACUAGAAAGAAAUAUUACAAUCAAGCUUGGAUAUGCCAGUGCUAAGAUUUAUAAACUUGAUGACCCAAGUUGCCCUCGGCCAGUAUGUUGUAGAUCUUGAGGGAGCAGUACACCUGAUGAGUUUCCUACAGAUAUUCCAGGGACCAAAGGGAACUUCAAAUUAGUCAGACAUGUUUCCUUUGUUGACUGUCCUGGCCAUGAUAUUUUGAUGGCUACUAUGCUGAAUGGUGCAGCAGGGAUGGAUGCAGCUCUUCUGUUGAUAGUUGGUAAUGAAUCUUGCCCUCAGCCUCAGACAUCUGAACACCUAGCUGCUAUAGAAAUCAUGAAACUGAAGCAUAUUUUGAUUCUACAAAAUAGAAUUGAUUUGGUAAAAGAAACGCCAAAGAACAAUACGAGCAGAUCCCUGCUUUUGUCCAAGGUACAGUAGCAGAGGGAGCUCCCAUUAUUCCAAUUUCGGCUCAGCUGAAAUACAAUAUUGAAGUUGUUUGUGAGAACAUAAUAAAGAAAAUUCCAGUACCCCCAAGAGACUUUACUUCAGAGCCCCGCGUUAUUGUUAUUAGGUCAACAAAUUUGUUACCGAUGUUGAUGUCAACAAACCUGGCUGUGAAGUUGAUGACCUUCAGGGGGGUGUAGCUGGUGGUAGUAUCCUAAAAGGAGUAUUAAAGGUGGGCCGGGAGAUAGAAGUAAGACCUGGUACUGUUUCCAAGGAUAGUUAAGGAAAACUCAUGUGUAAACCAAUCUUUUCCAAAAUUGUAUCCCUUUUUGUGGAGCAUAAUGAUCUGCAAUAUGCUGCUCCAGGCGAUCUUAUUGGAGUUGGAACAAAAAUUGACCCCACUUUGUGCUGGGCUGACAGAAUGGAGGGGCAGGUACUUGGUGCAGUUGGAGCCUUACCUGAGAUAUUCACAGAAUUGGAAAUUUCCUAUUUCCUAUUUCCUGCUUAGACGGCUUCUAGGUGUAAGCACUGAAAGAGACAAGAAAGCAGCAAAGGCUCAAAAGCUGUCUAAGAAUGAAGUAUUCAUGGUGAACAUAGGGUCCCUGUCAACAGGAGGGAGAGUUAGUGCUGUCAAGGCCGAUUUGGGUAAAAUUGUUUUGACCAAGCCAGUGUGCACAGAGGUAGGAGAAAAAAUUGCCCUUAGCCGAAGAGUUGAAAAACACUGGCAUUUAAUUGGUUGGGGUCAGAUAAGAGGAGGAGUGACAAUCAAGCCAACAGUAGAUGAUGACUGAUGAACACCAGUUAAAUAAUACAUUUGGAUGGAGUUGGAAGUUGGAAUUUCCCUUAACAACCAAGGAGUUUAUUUUCAAAGCAAUAUUGGGGAAUUUAUUUACAGUUUGUUACCUUAGUAGAUAGUUGUAAGAUUAUUCUCAUGUUUUUGGUUAUGAAAACUUAGGGACUGAAAUUAAUAUAAAAGUUGGCAUAAUGUUGGAUUGAAUCUAUAUUUUGAGAGAAGCAUUCCCAUAUAAUGUCACAAUUAUAUAUCAUGCAGUUUUGUUCUGUAUGUCUUGUUUUGUUUUGUUUUUGAGUCUGGCUUUGUCACCCAGGGUGGAGGGCAGUGGCCUGAUCUGCAACCUCUGCCUUCCGGGUUCAAGCAGCCUUUGAAGUAGCUGAGAUUACAGGUGUGUGCCACCACACUUGGCUAAUUCUUGUAUUUUUAGGAGAGACAGGGUUUUGACAUGUUGGCCAGGCUGGUCUCUCCUGACCUCAGAAUGAUCACCCCACCUUGGCCUCCCAAAGUGCUGGGAUUACAGGCGUAAGCCACCUUGCCCUACCCAUAUCAUACAGUUUGAAAUGAAUUUUUGCUACAACCAGCCUUUGCUUUAGCGCGCACGCACGCGCACACACACACACCACUGAACCUAUCUGAAAUAAAGUUUUAUUUUCGUGAUUCCUCUUUGAAUAGCUCCAGCCGAUGGGACUGUUGUACCAGUGAAAACUUAAAGAGACAGAUUCUCCUUGAAGAACUUCUCCCUUUUCUUUGGCUCCAUAUUUUUUAUUGCUUUAUCUUUGAAAUUUUGCAUGAAAAGGAUAUUAAUGGGUUCAAAUCAAAUUGUUCUUUAGAGAUUUUAGAAAUUGUUCCUAUGGACAAAUCUUUUAUUUCUCUUGCUCUUCCUGGCCUGAAACACAGGAAACCAGAGUCAGAAGUUAUCUUUCUUUCCUUGUGAUGGCUUGACAUUUUUUCUGCAUUGUUUUAUGCCUGAAAUCCAUCUUCCUCCAUUGGAAAAUACUGUUAUACCAAAUAAUUCUAGAUGAGUAACAAAGAUCUUUCUAGCCCUUCAUUUUAUGUGUGUUUUUUUUUAACUGUUACAUUAUGAUCAUAACACACGUUGUAAUAUUACUAAUUUUUGGACAUUCCAAAAAGCCAGGAAGUAAAAGGUGUUAGAAAGCAAUAACUGAGUCAAGAUGCCCCACAGAGAUUCUAGUUUAAUUGUUGUGAUUUAAUUGGCUUGGAGUAGAAUUCAGGCAUUGGUAUCUUUAACAACUCUCCUCAGUGUUGAGAAAUUUAGAGAGUUGAGAAGUAGGUAUAUUAAAUUACGGAAUCUCACUGAGUUUUGAAAGUCUGAUAAUACAGUUUGCUUUGCUUUUCUUAAAUUUGCAUUGAGAUGGGAUUUGAAGCAUAUUGUGCUCUUUUGAAUGUUGAAGUUGCAUUGUAGAAGUUGAGAACCUCUGGCUAUGGGUUAUCUAAGUUGAUGUUUUGAGGACACAUUAAUGUUACAUACUUGGCUGACUUUGAAGGUUGUGUUGUGGCAUGAGGAACACAAAUAAAACAAUUCUACAUCAAAC